CCAGGCGUUAUCCGGAUUUAUUGGGUUUAAAGGGAGCGUAGGCUGGAGAUUAAGUGUGUUGUGAAAUGUAGACGCUCAACGUCUGAAUUGCAGCGCAUACUGGUUUCCUUGAGUACGCACAACGUUGGCGGAAUUCGUCGUGUAGCGGUGAAAUGCUUAGAUAUGACGAAGAACUCCGAUUGCGAAGGCAGCUGACGGGAGCGCAACUGACGCUUAAGCUCGAAGGUGCGGGUAUCAAACAGGAUUAGAUACCCUGGUAGUCCGCACAGUAAACGAUGGAUGCCCGCUGUUGGUACCUGGUAUCAGCGGCUAAGCGAAAGCAUUAAGCAUCCCACCUGGGGAGUACGCCGGCAACGGUGAAACUCAAAGGAAUUGACGGGGGCCCGCACAAGCGGAGGAACAUGUGGUUUAAUUCGAUGAUACGCGAGGAACCUUACCCGGGCUUGAAUUGCAGAGGAAGGAUUUAGAGAUAAUGACG
rnacentral:rRNA from 1 species